UUAUGGAUUAUAGACUUCUAUUUUCCUUAUUUUCAUUUUCAUUUCUAUUCCUUUAAUAUGCUGUUUAAUAAAUAUAUCACAUCAACACAAGCCAAUAAAUUUCAGAAUAUCCAUGUAUCUAUGAUCAAAGGAUAUCUGAGUAAAAGUAAAUGCAGAGGGAAAUAAACAGAGUUGAAGCUGCUGGUCUGGUCUGAAGGAAACAGUCAAAGAGAUGAAAUAUGAAAGUGCUGAAUGACAGCCUUGACUGCUUUUAUAUGUCAGAACUCAUAUAUUUAAUACUUAAUUUCUAUUUUAUGAAACUGUUAUACCAGCUCCAGCUGUCUAAACCACUUAUGAUUAACCAGUGGUUAUGUUCACUAAACUAACACAAAUAUUUAUACACACACAUGGAGAUGUUAUGCCUUCAAACAGAGUCCAAAUAUGUGUUUCUUGGAUGAGGUUCAAGUUCAGCCCUCGUGUCGGAGUCAUCCCCUUCCACCGUGUUCCUCGUGAACUCCACCCCCCAGCUCUUCACCUGCCCCGGGAUCACGGCGAGCUCCGGUGAGCGCAGGGGACGCUUCCAUGGCGGAGUCUCAGCUCCGGUGUCUGGAGGACGGGCUCAUGCCCCCCGCGGUGCCCGAGUCCCGGCCGCAGUUCUACUACAGCGAGCAGCACCGGGCGGCCCUCGAGCGCCUGAUCACCGGCGGACACGGAGCCUUCACGAGCCUCCUGAAGCACGAGGACGGACAAGACUUCCUGUCUGCGCGGGAGGUCAAGACCAUCACCGGCACCUUCGUCAAAUACCCGAGCGAGGAAGACGACGGAGCGAAGCGCGGGAGCAGGAACAGCUCCGGGUCAAUGCGCUCCACGUACUGGCCGCAGAUGUCGGACACCGAGGUUCCGCCGCUGGACCUGGGCUGGCCCUCAUCCGGGCUCUUCAAAGGGGUCACCCGGGUGUCGGUCUACACUCACCCGCCCAAAGAGAACAGCCCGCACAUCAAGGAGGUGACCCGCAAACUCAUCCAGGAGUCCAGCAAGGUCGUGGCGAUCGUGAUGGACCUGCUGACCGAUCUGCAGAUUCUGCGGGAUCUGUUUGAGGCGUCCAAGCGCGGUGUUCCCGUCUACAUCGUUCUGGACGAGCCGGGAGCGCCGCUCUUUCUGGACAUGUGCAGCCGGCUGCAGGUCGGACACAGAGAGCUGAAGAAUAUCCGGACUCGGACCGUGAAGGGAAUCGGGUUGAAUCUGUCCGUGGGGAGAAUCCCAGGAAACGUCCAGAGCAAGUACAUGCUCAUCGAUGGAGAUAAAGUCAUGUUUGGGACGUACAGUUUCUCCUGGAGCUCUUCUCGGAUGGACAGAAACAUGAUCACCGUGAUGUCGGGGCAGGUGGUGGAUUUCUACGAUAACGAUUUCCGAGAACUUUACGCCAUCUCAGACAAACUGGACCUGUUUAAGCAGUUUCACAUGACCAAGCCUCAAACGGGAACCCUGUCCCGGGCCUCAGUGUCCAAACGCCCCGCAGUGGCCACUUCACGCUUCCAGGUCAAUCUCGGAGACGUGACGCGUGGAGAUGGGAAAGUGCCUGCACACAAAUACCACAAUCCCAAAUACCUGCUAGCGCUCGGACAGAUCCCGGGACCCACGGAGCCGCUGCAGGACUUCCUUAAUAAGAUGGAUCCGGAGCCGGAGCCGGAGAAUCCCACAGCAGACCUGGAGAACAUCACACCUGCUCCCUCUCCACCCGAGAAGAAAGAGUCCAAGAAACUCAGAAAACUGACUUUUAACACAAAGCGGUGGAGGAAAGGGAAGAAGGAUAAAACAAGUGACGCGGUUAUAGAAGAGAACGCUGCGAACCCUUCAGACGAGGCGUCGAAACACACGCUUCCCAGCGACGAGACGCAGGACAGCCUCAAGAAGAAGAAGAGAGGAUUCAGAUGCCUUUUUACAAAAAGCUAACGCCAGCUGUUUGAAUUACAGACCACUGAAACCUGUUAACCCUCAUUCAGCCGUGUUUAGAGGACACAGGGUUCCUGAUGUGUUUGUGAUGCGAGCGAUGUGUAAACAGCUCAGUGUUCACGUGUGUGACACGACAGAGAAACCUGAGGAAGAAACCUCUACAUUACAUUAGGUUUCUCACAUCCGUCAUUCUGGAAGCGUGAGGAAAAAGGGAAAAAUGGUGCAUAAAGGACUUUUUUAAAAAAAAUAAGGGUUUUGUAUUCUGGGUGACAUUUUAUGAAUACAAUUUUUACAUUUUUCAUAAUCUGCCUGUAAAUGUUUGCAUCUAAGGGGAUACGGCAUAAAUCACAAUUAUUAUAUAUAUAAAUAUAUGUUUUACAUAUAGACUCCGUUGUCUGUAGACUUUAGACUUUGUCGCCUCUUUCAGAAAAUCAUUCCGAUACUUCAGACUCUUAAAUGAUCAUUUAUCGAUGAUGAUUUAAUCAUAAAUCGAUUCGUUGGCAAUACUGAAUUUAGUUUUAGGUCAACGAUACAUGGAUCUGUUCGGAGGCUAUAGUUUAACAGAAGAGUUUUUAUCAUGUUGAUCAUUUAUAGGACCUAGAAAUGCAUAUCAAAUAUGAUACAUUAUGCUAAUAUUUUGAGUAGUUCUAGUGUCUGUAAUAAAUAGACAUUGUAACUAUUGUUUAACAGAAUGUUACAAUGUUUACUGUAAGUUAGUAUGAGAGAAUCAGAUGUAGCUGAAAUGUUGUAGCACACAUUGCCAAACAAGCGGUUUUCAGUCAACAAACACAAAUAUCCUGAAGAAGCCUCGAACUUUAAACCUGACUUUGACCCUUCAGGGCUAGAAUCAACAAGCCGUCCAGUCAUUCCUCCCUGAUAUAAACAGUUUAUUUUCUCUUCUUUAGUUGCAUCAUGCACACACUUUCUGCUCACAGCUGUUGAGAACAGAUUGGCUGUGUGUCACCACACUUUAAUAGACAGAUUAAACACUAAUACACACGAAAUACAAGAAUGAAUAUCUGUGUAGUGCUCCUCACAGCAAAGCCAGCAAACAGAGAACAUUCAAAGCUCAAACUGCACACACACUUUUCAUAAAUGACCAUCCUCACGUGAGAUCUGGCCUCAGAUCCGAGGACUUACUGUAACAGCUCUGAACAGGAAGUGACCACACGUGAGUGAGACUGUAAUGAGCUGCAGUCUGAGACCGAGUCCAGACCAGAGCUGAUACAGAGAAGAACACGGCUCAGAUGAACACGUUUCCUCCGAUGCUCUUGAGAUGCUGGAGGAACAUCUGGAGGAAGGAUGGCCUGCCCUGGACCUUCGUGAAGACACCGGCAGAUGUCACCUGCUGCUGUUCUGAUGGAGGAAGUGAAAGCGAUGAGGUCAUUUCACGUUUCCCUUUUCACAAGCUGCUGUUGCGUGAAUAUGACCAGAGCGCAGAGCUUUCAUCCUUCUUAUUCACGUUUGAUUCUGCAAUCAUCUUUAAUAACACAGAUUUAUCUUCCACAUGCACUUCCCCUAAAUCUGGAUGAGAUCAUGUUGAAGAGGGUUAAAAUAAGAUCAAGCACGCACUGAUGCUGGGGUCGGUAUCACAUUUUUAAUG